rnacentral:rRNA from 1 species
UUCUUUAUCACCGAGUGCUUGCACUCACCGAUAAAGAGUUGAGUGGCGAACGGGUGAGUAACACGUGGGCAACCUGCCCAAAAGAGGGGGAUAACACUUGGAAACAGGUGCUAAUACCGCAUAACCAUAGUUACCGCAUGGUAACUAUGUAAAAGGUGGCUAUGCUACCGCUUUUGGAUGGGCCCGCGACGCAUUAGCUAGUUGGUGGGGUAAAGGCUUACCAAGGCAAUGAUGCGUAGCCGAACUGAGAGGUUGAUCGGCCACAUUGGGACUGAGACACGGCCCAAACUCCUACGGGAGGCAGCAGUAGGGAAUCUUCCACAAUGGGCGAAAGCCUGAUGGAGCAACGCCGCGUGGGUGAAGAAGGUCUUCGGAUCGUAAAACCCUGUUGUUAGAGAAGAAAGUGCGUGAGAGUAACUGUUCACGUUUCGACGGUAUCUAACCAGAAAGCCACGGCUAACUACGUGCCAGCAGCCGCGGUAAUACGUAGGUGGCAAGCGUUAUCCGGAUUUAUUGGGCGUAAAGAGAACGCAGGCGGUCUUUUAAGUCUGAUGUGAAAGCCUUCGGCUUAACCGGAGUAGUGCAUUGGAAACUGGGAGACUUGAGUGCAGAAGAGGAGAGUGGAACUCCAUGUGUAGCGGUGAAAUGCGUAGAUAUAUGGAAGAACACCAGUGGCGAAAGCGGCUCUCUGGUCUGUAACUGACGCUGAGGUUCGAAAGCGUGGGUAGCAAACAGGAUUAGAUACCCUGGUAGUCCACGCC